CGGAUUUUUAAGUCAGUGGUGAAAGCCGACAGCUCAACUGUCGAACUGCCAUUGAUACUGGAAAUCUUGAGUACAAAUGAAGUAGGCGGAAUGAGUCAUGUAGCGGUGAAAUGCAUAGAUAUGACUCAGAGCACCGAUUGCGAAGGCAGCUUACUAACAUGUAACUGACGCUGAGGGACGAAAGCGUGGGGAGCGAACAGGAUUAGAUACCCUGGUAGUCCACGCCGUAAACGAUGACAACUAGCUGUUGGGAGACAAUGUCUUUCAGUGGCGCAGCUAACGCUUUAAGUUGUCCGCCUGGGGAGUACGGCCGCAAGGCUAAAACUCAAAUGAAUUGACGGGGACCCGCACAAGCGGUGGAGCAUGUGGUUUAAUUCGAUGCAACGCGAAAAACCUUACCUACUCUUGACAUACUUGGGAGCUCUUGUAAUGAGAGUGUACCUUUUGGAACCAAGAUACAGGUGCUGCAUGGCU
rnacentral:rRNA from 1 species